AAGACAGGUGGUGCAUGGUUGUCGUCAGCUCGUGUCGUGAGAUGUUGGGUUAAGUCCCGCAACGAGCGCAACCCUUAUCUUCAGUAGCCAGCAGGUAAAGCCGGGCACUCUGGAGAGACUGCCGGGGAUAACCCGGAGGAAGGUGGGGAUGACGUCAAAUCAUCAUGCCCCUUAUGAUUUGGGCUACACACGUGCUACAAUGGCGUAAACAGAGGGAAGCGAGCCCGCGAGGGGGAGCAAAUCCCAAAAAUAACGUCCCAGUUCGGAUUGUAGUCUGCAACCCGACUACAUGAAGCUGGAAUCGCUAGUAAUCGCGGAUCAGAAUGCCGCGGUGAAUACGUUCCCGGGUCUUGUACACACCGCCCGUCACACCAUGGGAGUCGGAAAUGCCCGAAGUCUGUGACCUAACCGUAAGGGAGGAGCAGCCGAAGGCAGGUCGGAUGACUGGGGUGAAGUCGUAACAAGGUAGCCGUAUCGGAAGGUGCGGCUGGAUCACCUC
rnacentral:rRNA from 1 species